rnacentral:rRNA from 1 species
UACGGGGGGGGGCAAGCGUUGUUCGGAAUUACUGGGCGUAAAGGGCGCGUAGGCGGCCUUCUAAGUCGGACGUGAAAUCCCUCGGCUUAACCGAGGAACUGCGUCCGAUACUGAAAGGCUUGAAUCCGGGAGAGGGAUGUGGAAUUCCAGGUGUAGCGGUGAAAUGCGUAGAUAUCUGGAGGAACACCGGUGGCGAAGGCGGCAUCCUGGACCGGUAUUGACGCUGAGGCGCGAAAGCUAGGGGAGCAAACGGGG